AUUAUGGGGUUUUCUAGACAUAAACUUAUGUCACAAAGACUCAAUGAAAAAUUUCAAUGAGUCUCUUCAAAAAUGUAUAGGUUCUCCCGGCCCCUAUAAAAAGGGGAUAUAAAAAUAUAAAUGGCUUUCCAUUUGCUUGGUAGAUCUUCCUCCAUCCCUUUAUUUUGAGCCUAUGUGUGUCCCUGCAGGUGAGAUGGGUUUACUGAAAAUGAUGAGUUAAUGGGUGCAGCACACCAACAUGGCAUAUGUAUACAUAUGUAACAAACCUGCACGUUGUGCACAUGUACCCUAAAACUUAAAGUAUAAGAAAUGAACAAAACCUACAAGAAAUAUGGAAUUAUGUAAAGAGACUGAAUCUAUCACUGAUUGGGGUAUCUGAAAGUGAUGGGGAAAAUGGAACCAAGUUGGAAAACAUACUUCAGGAUAUCAUCCAGGAGAAACUCCCCAACCAAGCAAGACAAGCUAAUAUUCAAAUUAAGGAAAUGCAGAGAACCCCAGUAAGAUACUCCAUGAGAAGAUCAUUUCCAAGAUAAAAUAAUCAGAUUCUCCAAGGUCAUAAUGAAAGAAAAAAUGUUAAGGGCAGCCUGAGACAAAGGCCAGGUCACC
rnacentral:lncRNA from 1 species